UGAGUGCGGCAGACUACACAUGCAGUCGAGCGAGAUCUUCGGAUCUAGCGGCGGACGGGUGAGUAACGCGUGGGAACGUACCCUCUUCUGCGGGAUAGCCACUGGAAACGGUGAGUAAUACCGCAUACGCCCUUCGGGGGAAAGAUUUAUCGGAGGAGGAUCGGCCCGCGUUGGAUUAGGUAGUUGGUGGGGUAAUGGCCUACCAAGCCUACGAUCCAUAGCUGGUUUUAGAGGAUGAUCAGCCACACUGGGACUGAGACACGGCCCAGACUCCUACGGGAGGCAGCAGUGGGGAAUCUUAGACAAUGGGCGCAAGCCUGAUCUAGCCAUGCCGCGUGAGUGACGAAGGCCUUAGGGUCGUAAAGCUCUUUCGCCUGUGAUGAUAAUGACAGUAGCAGGUAAAGAAACCCCGGCUAACUCCGUGCCAGCAGCCGCGGUAAUACGGAGGGGGUUAGCGUUGUUCGGAAUUACUGGGCGUAAAGCGCACGUAGGCGGAUUGGAAAGUAUGGGGUGAAAUCCCAGGGCUCAACCCUGGAACGGCCUCAUAAACUUCCAGUCUGGAGUUCGAGAGAGGUGAGUGGAAUUCCGAGUGUAGAGGUGAAAUUCGUAGAUAUUCGGAGGAACACCAGUGGCGAAGGCGGCUCACUGGCUCGAUACUGACGCUGAGGUGCGAAAGUGUGGGGAGCAAACAGGAUUAGAUACCCUGGUAG
rnacentral:rRNA from 1 species